rnacentral:rRNA from 1 species
GUGAACUCGAAGAGUAGGGCGGGACACGUGGUAUCCUGUCUGAAUAUGGGGGGACCAUCCUCCAAGGCUAAAUACUCCUGACUGACCGAUAGUGAACCAGUACCGUGAGGGAAAGGCGAAAAGAACCCCGGCGAGGGGAGUGAAAAAGAACCUGAAACCGUGUACGUACAAGCAGUGGGAGCACCUUCGGGUGUGACUGCGUACCUUUUGUAUAAUGGGUCAGCGACUUAUAUUCUGUAGCAAGGUUAACCGUAUAGGGGAGCCGCAGGGAAACCGAGUCUUAACUGGGCGUUAAGUUGCAGGGUAUAGACCCGAAACCCGGUGAUCUAGCCAUGGGCAGGUUGAAGGUUGGGUAACACUAACUGGAGGACCGAACCGACUAAUGUUGAAAAAUUAGCGGAUGACUUGUGGCUGGGGGUGAAAGGCCAAUCAAACCGGGAGAUAGCUGGUUCUCCCCGAAAGCUAUUUAGGUAGCGCCUCGUGAANNNNNNNNNNNNNNNNNNNNNNNNNNNNNNNNNNNNNNNNNNNNNNNNNNNUCAUCUUCGGGGGUAGAGCACUGUUUCGGCUAGGGGGUCAUCCCGACUUACCAACCCGAUGCAAACUACGAAUACCGAAGAAUGUUAUCACGGGAGACACACGGCGGGUGCUAACGUCCGUCGUGAAGAGGGAAACAACCCAGACCGCCAGCUAAGGUCCCAAAGUCAUGGUUAAGUGGGAAACGAUGUGGGAAGGCACAGACAGCCAGGAUGUUGGCUUAGAAGCAGCCAUCAUUUAAAGAAAGCGUAAUAGCUCACUGGUCGAGUCGGCCUGCGCGGAAGAUGUAACGGGGCUAAACCAUGCACCGAAGCUGCGGCAGCGACACUAUGUGUUGUUGGGUAGGGGAGCGUUCUGUAAGCCUGCGAAGGUGNUGCUGGAGGUAUCAGAAGUGCGAAUGCUGACAUAAGUAACGAUAAAGCGGGUGAAAAGCCCGCUCGCCGGAAGACCAAGGGUUCCUGUCCAACGUUAAUCGGGGCAGGGUGAGUCGACCCCUAAGGCGAGGCCGAAAGGCGUAGUCGAUGGGAAACAGGUUAAUAUUCCUGUACUUGGUGUUACUGCGAAGGGGGGACGGAGAAGGCUAUGUUAGCCGGGCGACGGUUGUCCCGGUUUAAGCAUGUAGGCUGGUUAUCCAGGCAAAUCCGGAUAAUCAAGGCUGAGGUGUGAUGACGAGGCACUACGGUGCUGAAGUAACAAAUGCCCUGCUUCCAGGAAAAGCCUCUAAGCAUCAGGUAACAUUGAAUCGUACCCCAAACCGACACAGGUGGUCAGGUAGAGAAUACCAAGGCGCUUGAGAGAACUCGGGUGAAGGAACUAGGCAAAAUGGUGCCGUAACUUCGGGAGAAGGCACGCUGGUGUGUAGGUGAAGNUGGAGCUGAGACCAGUCGAAGAUACCAGCUGGCUGCAACUGUUUAUUAAAAACACAGCACUGUGCAAACACGAAAGUGGACGUAUACGGUGUGACGCCUGCCCGGUGCCGGAAGGUUAAUUGAUGGGGUUAUCCGUAAGGAGAAGCUCUUGAUCGAAGCCCCGGUAAACGGCGGCCGUAACUAUAACGGUCCUAAGGUAGCGAAAUUCCUUGUCGGGUAAGUUCCGACCUGCACGAAUGGCGUAAUGAUGGCCAGGCUGUCUCCACCCGAGACUCAGUGAAAUUGAACUCGCUGUGAAGAUGCAGUGUACCCGCGGCAAGACGGAAAGACCCCGUGAACCUUUACUAUAGCUUGACACUGAACAUUGAGCCUUGAUGUGUAGGAUAGGUGGGAGGCUUUGAAGCGUGGACGCCAGUCUGCGUGGAGCCAACCUUGAAAUACCACCCUUUAAUGUUUGAUGUUCUAACGUUGGCCCCUNACCGGGGUUGCGGACAGUGUCUGGUGGGUAGUUUGACUGGGGCGGUCUCCUCCCAAAGCGUAACGGAGGAGCACGAAGGUUAGCUAAUCCUGGUCGGACAUCAGGAGGUUAGUGCAAUGGCAUAAGCUAGCUUGACUGCGAGCGUGACGGCGCGAGCAGGUGCGAAAGCAGGUCAUAGUGAUCCGGUGGUUCUGAAUGGAAGGGCCAUCGCUCAACGGAUAAAAGGUACUCCGGGGAUAACAGGCUGAUACCGCCCAAGAGUUCAUAUCGACGGCGGUGUUUGGCACCUCGAUGUCGGCUCAUCACAUCCUGGGGCUGAAGUAGGUCCCAAGGGUAUGGCUGUUCGCCAUUUAAAGUGGUACGCGAGCUGGGUUUAGAACGUCGUGAGACAGUUCGGUCCCUAUCUGCCGUGGGCGCUGGAGAAUUGAGGGGGGCUGCUCCUAGUACGAGAGGACCGGAGUGGACGCAUCACUGGUGUUCGGGUUGUCAUGCCAAUGGCACUGCCCGGUAGCUAAAUGCGGAAGAGAUAAGUGCUGAAAGCAUCUAAGCACGAAACUUGCCCCGAGAUGAGUUCUCCCUGAGACUUUAAGUCUCCUGAAGGAACGUUNGACGUUGAUAGGCCGGGUGUGUAAGCGCAGCGAUGCGUUGAGCUAACCGGUACUAAUGAACCGUGAGGCUUAACCUU